AGCAGAGAUGUUACUUUUGAUGAGAACUCCAUGGUAGCUUCAUUGAAAGCUACAGUGCCCGGUGGUGAUGAUGUUGAGACUACAAUGUCUCAAGUUGUUGACAUAGAACCUAGAGAUCAACCUGAUUCUAGGCAUGUUCAAGAGGAGCAUCAUACAGACACUCAAGAUGAGAGUGAUGAUGCACUUGAACAAGAGGCGGUUCAGCAAGAGAAUGUACAGGCACA
rnacentral:lncRNA from 1 species